AGAAUUUGAUGAUGAAGCUUCGU
rnacentral:siRNA from 1 species